rnacentral:tRNA from 1 species
GGGGAUGUAGCUCAAUGGCACAGCACUUGCCCAGGAUGCAUGAGGUCCUGGGUUCAAUUCCCAGUAGCCCCC